rnacentral:rRNA from 1 species
AAGACAAACAAUCAAAACUUUCAACAACGGAUCUCUUGGCUGUGGCAUCGAUGAAGAACGCAGCGAAAUGCGAUAACUAAUGUGAAUUGCAGAAUUCAGUGAAUCAUCGAGUCUUUGAACGCACAUUGCGCCCGCUGGUAUUCCGGCGGGCAUGCCUGUCCGAGCGUCAUUU